UCUGUUACAUCUGUAUCACAAUGCUGCAUGCCCUGACGUCUGUUAAAUCUGUAUCACAAUGCUGCAUUCCCUGACGUCUGUUAAAUCUGUAUCACAAUGCUGCAUGGCCAAUGCAGAAAUCGAUGCACCCAGAUUAGGGUGACCAGACGUCCCCGUUUUCCGGGGACAGUCCCGGUUUUUGGUGGCCUGUCCCAGCCUGGAGUUGUCCCCGUUUUUAACUGUGCGUUAAAAACAGACCGCAAAGUGAAAUAUUUUACUUGGCAAGAAAGACCGGGCAGCAGAGCCUACCGGUUGACGUCUCAAUUGUGUUGUGCUUGUUUAGGCCAACAGAGGGGGCUGCUCGCUAUUAACUCUUAUUCUACUAACUACUUGCUCGCGAUAGUUUUAGAGAAAACUGCUGUGGAAAACUCGGCCAGAAGUUAGCAAGGGUCAAGUGAAUCCACAACAUCACCACAAAUGUAGUUUCAAGCCAGAAAUGUUCGUGGAUAACAUUAGCAGUGGAGAGGAAGGAGAUGAGGAAGACUGGAUAGGAAGAAGAGUGAAGGAGAUAGGAGGAAAGAUUGGAGAGGAAGGAAAGGAAAAAUGAAGGGAGUAAAAAGAGUGAAGCAAGGAGAGUGUAGAAGAGUGAGGUGGAAAGGUGAAGAGAAGGAAAGGAAGGAAGACGAGUGAAGAAAAGAGGAGGAGAAAGAUUGGAGGAGAAGAAAAAGUUGAGAGUAAGAAGAGUGACACAAGGAGAGUGAAGAAGAGCAGACAGAGGAGAUGCAAUGACUCUUUCCAAGAAACGGAAAUGCACUUAUGAAAAACAUGAUGAGAGAAUUUCCAUUUAUACGCUCAGGUCAAGAUGAUAGAAUGGUUCACUGCACCCUUUGUAAUUCCUCUCUUUCAAUUGGCAGCCUGAGAAGAAUGUCAGUGGUAGAACAUCAGCAGAUGAAAAAGCAUAAAGCCUCUGAUUGCCUGUGUUGGUGUGCCCUCUGUCACCACAUUCUUCAAGAAGGUAGAGCCUUCCCAAGAAGAAUAUGGUUUAGCUGUGCAGGUGGGUGUCUUUGCAUACCACACUAUGCGACACAAUCACAGUUACAGAUCUAUGGACUGCACAGCACAACUGGCAUGGAAGCUUUAUGAGCCAAAGUUUACAUGUGCUAGGACAAAACGUGACGCCCUAGUGAGUAACGUGUUAGCACCAUGGGCAACUACUUUGGUAACACGGGACCUAGACCAGGUUGCAUUUGUGUCCCUGUCCAUUGAUGCGUCCAAUCAUGGACAUGUAAAGCUGCUGCCAAUAGUAGUCAGAUAUUGUAAGAUAUAUGAUGGCAGCACAUCUGUGGAAACAAAACUGCUUGAUUUUGUUGACUUGAAUGGAGAAACAGCAGAGGAAAUUGCAGCUGAGGUCCUGGUGGUCAUCCAAAAAUGUAACCUGGAAAACAUUCUCUGCCCGACAACAAAUACCAACUUUGGAGGACUGAAUAGGCUGGGGAGGGUCAAUGUCCAUACCAAAGUUAAAAAUGCUCUGCAGCGGGAGGUGAUUGGCUUAGGUUGUCCUGCCCACAUCAUUCAUAAUACGGCCAGAACAGCUUUGGAUAUGAUGUUGAGUACCUGCUCACAAAGAUAUUUGGAUAUGUUCAUAUUUUCACCGUCAGAGUAGAAAGACUGAAGGGCUUUUGUGAGUUUGUUGGCCAGGAGUACUAUAACAUUUUAGGACACAGCAAUGUUCGCUGGCUGUCCAUGCUCCCUGCUCUAGAAAGAGUGCUGAAAAUGUAUGUGCCAUUUAAAUCCUUUUUUCUUUCUGAAGACAAAUGUCCUGUCGUCCUGCAAACAAUGUUCGAAGAUCCACUAACUGAACUUUGGCUGGCCUCUGUCCAUGGAAACCUGACCAUAUUCAGUGACACGAUCAAGAUGCUUGAAGGCCAGGACCGCUGUGCGGUGGAGUCAGCUGCAAUUCUGAGAAACGUUGAGGCAAAAUUGACUGCAAGACGUGAUGAAAACUUCAUUCCAGUUUUGGUCAGAGGACUUCUGAGAGAGCUGGAGGAAAAUGGAGCCAUGUCUAAAGAGAGCUUUCUCAAAACAUCCCAAUCAUUCUUCACUAUGGCUGUGAACUGCUUCCAAGCAUGGGGAAAGCACACAGAUAAUCUAAAAGAUUUACAUUGUCUCCUUUUAAAAAGGCAACCUCAGCGUGAAGAGAUCCAGAAGGCAGCAGGUACGCUGCAGGAAAAAUGCCCCAAUGUGACCAUCAAUGAGGAUGCAUUGUUUGACGAGGUUACUGGCCUGCAAGAGUUCCUAAAGGGGGGAAUCGCUUGAAGAAUGGAAAACAUCUGAGACACCGCUUAGUCAGAGAUGGAGCACGGUGGUUACCCACUUCAAAGAGAACGACAUCCCACACACUAACCUGGCUAGAUUAGCGUAUGUUGUCAUGUGCUUACCUGGAAGUAAUGCACCAGUCGAGAGAGUGUUCUCCCAAAUGAAUGAUAUAUGGACAGCAGCAGGAAAUAGGUUCACUGUUCCUACCAUCAAGGCCAUGCUUAUUGUGAAGACAAACUUCAACCUU